UUUGAGAAGCCAAUUCAUGCCCUUGGUGUUUGAGAAGUCAAUAGGAUCGUAAGAUCUUUUAGCAGUCUUGAAUCUACAAAACGUAGGGUUGAGCAAAACUAAAACCGAAAAACCAAAACCGACAAAACCAAAACCGACAAAUCAAAACCAAAUCCAAACCGUUGGGUUUGGAUUUAAACUUCUAAAAAAUGAGAAAAUGGGUUCUAGGUUCAGUUUUAGUACUUAAAACCGACCCAUAGGAACCGGCCCAACCCAUUAGGUUGAACCCAACUUAAAACCGAUCCGUUCUAUAUAAAAUUAUACCGAUUAUAUAAGUAUUUUAUUAUAAAGCGUGAGAUAUUAUCAAAAGUCCUAAGUUGCCCAGCCGGUUAAGUCGCAUAUCAAGGGUUUUAGUUGGGUCACUACAACCGGUUCAACUGGACUUUCUCAAAAACCUAUCAAAUGUCUCCGACAUAGAAUUAGCAUAAAACUGGUACUUAUUAAAUUGGUCACUACCGUGGUUCUAAUUCAACCAGUAAAUCAGCCAGUUAAACCAAUUUAUAAAACCUUUAAAUCAGACGAUUAACCUAAUUUUUAAAACCUUGGGUGGUAGAAUAUAAUUCAAUGUAGGAAUAUAUGUGUUUUAUUGGGCUAGAAGAAUUUUAUGUCCUCGGACCCAUACCUAAUCGGCAGUUAACCCGUCUUUAUGACUAUCUUGAGCAAUCGAAGGACAACCUGCUUCAGCUCCACCUUGAGGAACAUCUUCAUACUAGUCCACCACCAAAGACACGAGGCUAUGUUGAAAAUUUCCACGUCUACUUUCAUUGUCCAACUUCUUCAUAUCAAUUUGAGCAACAUACUUUCCGACAUUUGAUACUACCUCAAAGCCACCAUAUUCCACCCACCCAUUUAGAGAUACUCUCCCCCUUCUCUGCCAUACCAAAACAACCAUCUCGGUGGACCAUCACUUCUUAUCGAAUCUUGUAUCUUGACUCAAAAUGGCAAGCCUCUUGUACGAGGACUAGGUAUCCCUCACUUGCAAGCCUCUUUCCGAAAAAUGGAAACCACAUUCUUUAUUUCUUAGCAACGCCUCCACCUUGUACCAAAACUCAACUCGCCAUAGUAAUAUGUUCUUUGUAACCAUGCCAAUUUACCACUUGAAGCACCACCCCUCUAUUGUGUCAAAUAACCAAGACCGUCACAGCUUUCUUCCAUGAAACAACUCAAUUUCCCUCCUCCCAAGAACUAGUGUCUUUGUUCUUCAACUCAACUUUCUUGAUCAAUCAAACAUUAUGAAACCCAUGAGUGACCUAACACCCAAUGGUCUCAAUUCACCCUUUUCAUUAAUCCUAGAAAUUCAAUGCCCAAGAGCAAACCAGUCACCACAUUAUUGAUUACUUUAGGACUUUUAUUGAAUACCUUGUGUACAAUCUCAAGACUCAAUCUCAACACAAACUUUCUUUGUGGAAGGACUUCAUUUUCAAUUCAAAUCACUAAAACAAAGGCAGUUGAACAAAACAAAACGAAUUUCAUUGUUUUUGUUACCUAACCUUCGAAAUUGAAGAACUUCCAGCCUACCCCACUGGUGACUUGGUGAUUGGUGUGAAAUUUGAAUUCUGAAAAUUCUGCAUUGAUUUUGAUCAAAUCCUUUUCGAAAACUCAAGUGGAUCUGCACCCAAACCUAUUUUCGUCACCCUUGAUCGAUUACCAUGAACAGGCUCCAAGAACUUCACAAAAACAGCCCCUUCAUUGAAAAAAAUAAAAAAUAUAUAAAAAUAAAACAACCUCCCCUCAAGCACUCAUACCAAUUUGUUGUGCAUUUGCCGAAACAUAACGAAAUAAUUAGGAAAAAAUCGUUAGAAAAAAAAAAAAAAAAAGUAUGCCAAAAGUUUUCCCUACUAGCAGAAGUGAUUCUGGAAAUUAUUUCUAACAGAACCAAACUUAUUUAUGUAUGUCACUAUAUAUAUAUUGAACAGCCGCAGUUGUCCUAUAUUGGUAUGUUAUUAUCUAUACAUACAUUUUUAUAGAAUAAUAUAAUUAGUGUUGUAGUCGCAUUGUGGAUUCAUCCACUCAUGAUUUCAGUUGUAGUAUUUGAUAUUUUAUAACUUCAAAAUCAAUAAACUUGCUAGCCAAUCAACAUCCUACAAAUAAUUCAACAUACAUAGAUUUUUUUUCCCUUUUAAUGUGGCACUGAAAUUAAAUCCGUAGGGAAAAUUCAACUUCCCUAAGAUGUAUGACAUAGUAACGCGCAUGCUUCAUUUGUGAGUGUAUGCCUUUGUGAUAAGAAAUACUAUGAUUUUUCUCGGAAUCAAAUUGACGUACCUAGUUGAAUACGUACAACAACGUUUAUUCGUUUAUAUGUUUUGCAAAUUUAUGACCUGUGAUUUUUUAUGAUGAAAUGAAAACAUGUUACAAAAUCGCUGUCUGAAUGAUUGAAUACUGAAUCCCAACACUUGAGCAGCUCUUACAGGAACACAAGAAAUGGAUAGACAAUCAUAAAUAAUUAAGUUGCAUGAGGCAAAAUCGUUGAGUGCUAGUAUUUAGCAAGCUUUGCAUAUAUACCAAAG
rnacentral:lncRNA from 1 species